rnacentral:tRNA from 1 species
AAAAAUUUAGUUAAAUUAUAACAUUAGUGCGUCAAACUAAAAUUACUUAAAGUAAUUUUUU